rnacentral:rRNA from 1 species
CUGGCUCAGAUUGAACGCUGGCGGCGUGCUUAACACAUGCAAGUCGCGCGUGAAAGGACUUCGGUCCGAGUAAAGCGGCGCACGGGUGAGUAACGCGUGGAUGAUCUACCCAUGAGUUGGGAAUAACGGCUGGAAACGGUCGCUAAUACCGAAUACGCUCCGAUUUCAUCUUCGGGGGAAAGGUGGCCUCUGCUUGCAAGCUACUGCUCAUGGAUGAGUCCGCGUCCCAUUAGCUAGUUGGUGGGGUAACGGCCCACCAAGGCGACGAUGGGUAGCCGGUCUGAGAGGAUGACCGGCCACACUGGGACUGGAACACGGCCCAGACUCCUACGGGAGGCAGCAGUGGGGAAUAUUGCGCAAUGGGCGAAAGCCUGACGCAGCGACGCCGCGUGAGGGAAUGAAGGUCCUCGGAUCGUAAACCUCUGUCAGGAGGGAAGAACCGCCACGGUGCUAAUCAGCCGUGGUCUGACGGUACCUCCAAAGGAAGCACCGGCUAACUCCGUGCCAGCCGCCGC